rnacentral:rRNA from 1 species
UACAGAGGUCUCAAGCGUUGUUCGGAUUCAUUGGGCGUAAAGGGUGCGUAGGCGGCGCGGUAAGUCGGGUGUGAAAUCUCGGGGCUUAACUCCGAAACUGCACUCGAUACUGCGGUGCUUGAGGACUGGAGAGGAGACUGGAAUUCAUGGUGUAGCAGUGAAAUGCGUAGAGAUCAUGAGGAAGACCAGUGGCGAAGGCGGGUCUCUGGACAGUUCCUGACACUGAGGCACGAAGGCCAGGGGAGCAAACGGG